rnacentral:rRNA from 1 species
AGUGAACGCUGGCGGUAUGCCUAACACAUGCAAGUCGAACGGCAGCACCGUAAGAGCUUGCUCUUACGGGUGUCGAGUGUCGGACGGGUGAGGUAUACAUCGGAAUCUACUUUUUCGUGGGGGAUAACGUAGGGAAACUUACGCUAAUACCGCAUACGACCUACUGGUGAAAGCAGGGGAUCUUCGGACCUUGUGCGAUUGAAUGAGCCUAUGUCGGAUUAGCUAGUUGGCGGGGUAAAGGCCCACCAAGGCGACGAUCCGUAACUGGUCUGAGAGGAUGAUCAGACAGACUGGAACUGAGAAACGGUCCAGACUCCGACGGGAGGAAGCAGUGGGGAAUAUUGGACAAUGGGCGCAAGCCUGAUCCAGCCAUACCGCGUGGGGGAAGAAGGCCUUCGGGUUGGAAAGCCAUGUUGUUGGGAAAGAAAAGAAGCAGGUUAAUACCCGGCGGUACUGACGGUACCCAAAGAAUAAGCACCGGCUAACUUCGUG